rfam:Corchorus capsularis cultivar CVL-1 contig09613, whole genome shotgun sequence.
AAGAAAAGAGCCUGUCAAAUAAGCCAAGGUGACUUGCUUGGGGAGGAAUCCAAACCAGACAGGUUUUGAAACCUGUUGGGGAAGGAAUGAUUGCAGGCAAGUCAUCCUUGGCUACCAAACAGAACUCUUAUCU